rnacentral:rRNA from 1 species
AAACAGAGGGAAGCGAGCCCGCGAGGGGGAGCGAAUCCCAAAAAUAAACGUCCCAGUUCGGAUUGUAGUCUGCAACCCGACUACAUGAAGCUGGAAUCGCUAGUAAUCGCGGAUCAGAAUGCCGCGGUGAAUACGUUCCCGGGUCUUGUACACACCGCCCGUCACACCAUGGGAGUCGGAAAUGCCCGAAGUCUGUGACCCAACCGAAAGGAGGGAGCAGCCGAAGGCAGGUCGGAUGACUGGGGUGAAGUCGUAACAAGGUACC